CUUAUUUUUUCUUCUUCUUUCA
rnacentral:sRNA from 1 species